ensembl:lncRNA
GCUCAAAAGGACAAUCAAAUGGAGGAUUAGUGGUCUUUGUAAUGUUUUGGGUGGUGUGUGUUUUAGAAGUUUGUCUUCUCUCAUUUAUAUUGAAAAAAAUGGGAUGGGAGUGGAAGAGACUGUGUUCAUUUUCUAUGGGUUUGAUCCUCUUGGGGAAUACAGAUGGAUUUAGUGUUCCACCUAAUCCAGCUACCAGUGACUGGCAACCUAUAGAUUCUGUUGCCUCAAAUAAUGAGUCUGGUGUUCCUCCUGAAAACCACUUUGACAAAGCUAGAAUCCAACCUUCUGAGCUGCCAUCCAGAAAUACUCUAAGUGGUAAUUCUGAGUGGGUAGAACUUGACCCUAUUAUUCACAUGCCCCUCUCCAAGUCCCAGACUGCUCAGCAUGGUGCUGUUUCAGUUCAGACUUCUGAUUCUGGUAAACCUGUCCUACAUAAAGAGAACCAAUAUGGUCAUCCCCUUAUGCGUCAGGGAAGCUACAGGACCCCACCGUCAAAGCCAUAUUUGUAUGCUUCAAAUAACUGGAAGUCUGUCAACUGUGGACAUGUUGCUUCCCAAUAUCCUGCCAGAAAUCAAGAUGUGCCCAGGCCUGUGGCCAAAUCCCGGAGUUCAGAAAAUGCGUUUAUGCCUACCUAUAAUCAGAACCGCUAUGGCGCUCAACUCUCUGAAGCUUCUCGCUCAUAUACUUUGAAAGGAUGGCAGACUCCAUUUUCAUACGAAAGCACCCCAAACCAGCCAAAUGAGCCCAUGCCUCAAUCAUCUUGGAGUUUAGCAAAAUUGUAUUCUGCCACCUCUCUGAAUCAAGGUACCCAUAGAGGUCAUCACACUCUACCUUCAAGCCAGUAUACCUCUACAGGGAGGCCGAGGGUUCCAUCACCACCUCAAUCUCAAAGCAAGCCUAGAGAGUAUAUCGUGGGAUCUUUGACCCAGCCAGCAAACCAAUUCAUGAUCCCAUCCCAGACUUCAAGAGCAUCUUCUGUUGUCUCUUUGGGUCAAGACAGAUAUGGGGCUCAAUCCACAGCUGCUUCUGGAUCAUACAAUGCUCAGGCCUCUAGCCGGUAUAUCUUUUCCCGGGGGAAGAGCACUCCUUCAUUUUCCCAGUCAAGAGACACCCUGACUCAAGUCCAGUCCAAGCUGAUGUUCCCAAGAGAGGGUUUAGGGACCAGGGACAUGUCUUCAAUUCCAACUGGCUCAGGAGCUAAAUGGUAUAGGGUGGAUCCUCUUAAGUUUCAGGUUUUGCAAUUCUCCCACACUUAGAUUCAGUGACUUGGUAUGGCCAGGCUGCCUCAAGCAACUAUCCCCCUAUGACUGACUGCCAAAGCACCCCAACCCCAUUUGUAUUUCAACACCAAAGUGAUCAUGCUUCCAAACCUUCAGCCCUCAUGUCAUGUCCUAGGCCCCCCCCCCCCAUAGAGGGGCCCAAAGCUCAAUGAGCAUCCCAUGGGUUAUCACCCUUUGCUUCAAAGUGGGACAUAUUGAACAGUACAGCUCAGUAAGUGGUGCACCAUCCAGAGCCUUCCUGUCUGCUCCAAGGACCCCAACCUACUUUGGACUUCUGCAAUGGCAGAGCAUCUGACAAACCAACCUCUGCUGUAGGUUCUUUACUCAACCAGCAGUUAUUUGAAGCACUAGGGGCAGGUGGGUCCUCAGAUUUUCAGGUUACUCCAAGCCUUACUGAUUCUGAACUUAGGUUGUGGUCAUAUAUAUCUCUGAGUAGGUUGUGGUCAACCAGCUACAGCUUUGCUUAAAAUCUAAGUGACCCCAGUGACUGCAAACCUGCAACCUGGCAUUUGCCUGAACUGUUUUGACUCGGUGGUGAAGCGCUGGGUAUCGCAUCAAUUGCCACAUGUUCCUGACCAAGGUUCUUGCUCAUUUGAAUGGUAUCAUGUUUGAAUCUUCAGCAUUAAAAAAGAAUUAAGCUUAUUGGCCAUUUCGCUCUGGUUCUUCUUGAUGGCUCUGGUUCUUGCAUGUCAACAUUAAAUGCAUUGGUUCACUGCUGUUUUUGUAUUAAAAGAAUACAAAUGUUACCCCCCAUGCACCGUGUACAACUAUUUUUAUUUUUGUAUUGAAUGCUUUUAAGAUCAAGACUGUCAAGCAAGUAAAAAUAAUUCUGUAAAAUGAACACCAUAGCAGUCAAUCCGUACUCAUAGGGUACAUAAAAUGUGGCCUGUGCAAAAGUUGCAGUUUGUGUAAUGUGUUUAUUUUUUUGUCCCCCCCCCCCCCCUUUCAAAA